GUUAAAAAACAUGCGGCGCCAAAGUCCUUCUACCACUUCCUGUAGUCUUCUUUGUCUUUUCCAGCAAUAGUAACAUCUGUUUCUUGAUCAUGACUUAAAAAAAGUUGUUUCCAUU